CUACGGGCCGCUGCAGUAGGGAAUUUUGCGCAAUGGGCGAAAGCCUGACGCAGCAACGCCGCGUGAUCGAUGAAGCUCCUAGGAGUGUAAAGAUCUGUCAUAAGGGAAGAAAAGUUUUAAUAUUAAUAGUAUUAGGAUUUGAUGGUACCUUAUAAGAAAGCACCGGCUAACUUCGUGCCAGCAGCCGCGGUAAUACGAGGGGUGCAAGCGUUGUCCGGAAUCAUUGGGCGUAAAGGGUGCGCAGGCGUCCGAGAAAGUUAUUUGUUAAAUCCUCCGGCUUAACCGGAGUUCUGCAAGUAAAACUACUCGGAUAGAGUUUAAGAGAGGAAAAUGGAAUUCCUGGUGUAGCGGUGACAUGCGUAGAUAUCAGGAGGAACACCUAUGGCGAAGGCAGUUUUCUGGCUUAAAACUGACGCUGAGGCACGAAAGCGUGGGGAGCAAACAGGAUUAGAUACCCCCGUAGUC
rnacentral:rRNA from 1 species